GAUGAACGCUGGCGGCGUGCCUAAUACAUGCAAGUCGAGCGAACAGACGAGGAGCUUGCUCCUCUGACGUUAGCGGCGGACGGGUGAGUAACACGUGGAUAACCUACCUAUAAGACUGGGAUAACUUCGGGAAACCGGAGCUAAUAUCGGAUAAUAUAUUGAACCGCAUGGUUCAAUAGUGAAAUACGGCUUUGCUGUCACUUUGAGAUUGAUCCGCGCCGCAUUAGCUAGUUGGUAAGGUAACGGCUUACCAAGGCGACGAUGCGUAGCCGACCUGAAAGGGUGAUCGGCCACACUGGAACUGAGACACGGUCCAGACUCCUACGGGAGGCAGCAGUAGGGAAUCUUCCGCAAUGGGCGAAAUCCUGACGGAGCAACGCCGCGUGAGUGAUGAAGAUCUUCGGAUCGUAAAACUCUGUUAUUAGGGAAGAACAAAUGUGUAAGUAACUAUGCACGUCUUGACGGUACCUAAUCAGAAAGCCACGGCUAACUACGUG
rnacentral:rRNA from 1 species